UGUCACUUGUCAGGGGCAGAAGUCGU
rnacentral:piRNA from 1 species